rnacentral:rRNA from 1 species
UAGGGUGCGAGCGUUGUCCGGAAUUAUUGGGCGUAAAGAGCUUGUCGGCGGUUUGUCGCGUCUGCUGUGAAAAUCCGGGGCUCAACCCCGGACUUGCAGUGGGUACGGGCAGACUAGAGUGUGGUAGGGGAGACUGGAAUUCCUGGUGUAGCGGUGAAAUGCGCAGAUAUCAGGAAGAACACCCGUGGCUAAGGCGGCUCUCUAGUACGGUACUGACGCUGAGACGCGAAAGCGUGGGGAGCGAACAGG